CGCGCAGAACCUUACCUGGUCUUGACAUCCCGGGAAUUUCCUUGAAGAGGGAAGUGCCUCGCAAGAGGAGCCUGGAGACAGGUGCUGCAUGGCUGUCGUCAGCUCGUGUUGUGAAAUGUUGGGUUAAGUCCCGCAACGAGCGCAACCCUUAUCCUUUGUUGCCAGCGGUCCGGCCGGGAACUCAAAGGAGACUGCCAGUGAUAAACUGGAGGAAGGUGGGAUGACGUCAAGUCAUCAUGGCCCUUACGACCAGGGCUACACACGUGCUACAAUGGCGCAUACAAAGAGAAGCGACCUCGCGAGAGUAAGCGGACCUCAUAAAGUGCGUCGUAGUCCGGAUUGGAGUCUGCAACUCGACUCCAUGAAGUCGGAAUCGCUAGUAAUCGUGGAUCAGAAUGCCACGGUGAAUACGUUCCCGGGCCUU
rnacentral:rRNA from 1 species